GUUAGUUCAUACGUCCUCCAGUCUGUGGUUUGGGUUAGAAUCCGACCUGUGGCUCCUGUCCCGUUCAAGGUCACAGGGGGGAGGUUACACCCUGGACUGUGCGCCAACCUAGCGAGCAUGUCUUUGGACUGUGGGAGGAAGUAGAGGUAGCUAGAGGUGACCCAUGCACGGGGAAAACAUUCAAACUCCACACUCCUCCUGUUAUUUAUAGUCUCUAGUUUGUAGAAAAAAUGUGCACGCUUCUUUGUUUUGCAGAGACAUGGAGAGGUAUACUUCCCACCAGCAAAUGAAUCACUACAACUUACCAUCCGAUUCUUUAAAUGCCCUCUCCUAUUUGAGCAGCCCUGGUGUGCCAAAAAAAAAAAAUAGAGGACUGUCCUUCACCUUUCUAUGAAUACCUUCAAAAGAGGCCUGCAGGUCACGUCACUGCUUUACAUCAUUCUUGACCGGAGGAGGAAUGUGUUAUCACAGAGUAAAGGAUGAAUCAGUGAAGACGUCACCGAACUCGAGCUCCAACAACCUGGAACGACAGAAUGUGUUAGGAGCCCAAGAGGCCUCGCCCUUGAAGCAGAGACCAGGCUCUAGAGUAGACUGAGCUCCCCCAUACAUCAGCCAGGUGAUCGCGCACUACUACCAACCGACGUCCCCGAUACCCAGCCGCCACCAUCGGACUGUAUCGUCCUCACAACCACCGCUGUCCUCAUUCAUGCACGGCCUGCUCCGACCUCCAACCCAGCGGCAAGGACGUGUGGACAACAGGAACGCGAGGGAUACAAAGGAGAAAGGCUUCCUGCAUCUCCCCCUAUCCCAUUUUUCUCAACAAUGAGUAAAGUCUCUCCCUGCUCUUUUGUGAAGCGUCUUUAGAGAACACUUAUGAAUUGGCGCUACACAGAUAUUGAUUGAUUGAAUGUCCUUGUAAAUCAAACACUCCUGCAGCCACAGUAACAACGUUAUAGUUUAUUAACUGGAUAUUCAAUAUUUGUGACAGUGAAUACAUAAUUAAGUAGAAUACACAGAGACUUUCACUUUUAUUAGAAGAAGACAUUAAGAAAAUAUCGGUGUAGCACUUUAAGAAGAUUUAUGAGUGUUCGAUUCUUAACAUAGUCGAGUGUCUGUCCCUUUAACAGAGACGGUCAAAGCAAAGUACAAAAGGAAA